UUACGACCAUAACACGUUGAAACACUGGUAUCCAUACGAUCACCGAAGUUAAGCAACGUCGAGCCUGGUCAGUACUUAGAUGUAUGGCCGCUUG